rnacentral:rRNA from 1 species
GAUGAACGCUGGCGGCGUGCUUAACACAUGCAAGUCGAACGAGAAUCUAUGGAUAGAGGCUUCGGCCAAUUGAAGUAGAGGAAAGUGGCGGACGGGUGAGUAACGCGUGAGGAACCUGCCUAGGAGUGGGGAAUAACAGUCCGAAAGGACUGCUAAUACCGCAUAAUGCAGUUGGGUCGCAUGGCUCUGACUGCCAAAGAUUUAUCGCUCUUAGAUGGCCUCGCGUCUGAUUAGCUAGUUGGUAGGGUAACGGCCCACCAAGGCGACGAUCAGUAGCCGGACUGAGAGGUUGAUCGGCCACAUUGGGACUGAGACACGGCCCAGACUCCUACGGGAGGCAGCAGUGGGGAAUAUUGCGCAAUGGGGGAAACCCUGACGCAGCAACGCCGCGUUGAGGAUGACGGUUUUCGGAUUGUAAACUCAUGUCUGGUGGGAAGAUAGUGACGGUACCACCGGAGGAAGUCACGGCUAACUACGUGCCAGCAG